UACGAAGGGGGCUAGCGUUGUUCGGAAUCACUGGGCGUAAAGCGCACGUAGGCGGACUUUCAAGUCAGGGGUGAAAUCCCAGAGCUCAACUCUGGAACUGCCUUUGAUACUGGGUAUCUCGAGUAUGGAAGAGGUGAGUGGAAUUCCAGGUGUAGCGGUGAAAUGCGUAGAUAUCUGGAGGAAUACCGGUGGCGAAGGCGGCAUCCUGGACCGACAUUGACGCUGAGGAGCGAAAGCGUGGGGAGCAAACAGG
rnacentral:rRNA from 1 species